rnacentral:tRNA from 1 species
GAGGCUAUAGCUCAGUGGUAGAGAACAUGCUUAGUAUGCACAAGGUCCUGGGUUCAAUCCCCAGUACCUCCA